rnacentral:sRNA from 1 species
CCAGAGCAUGCCAAACCCAGCUAGGCAUCUGGCCACCUCUGACAGAGAUGGUGGCUCCUCUCCCCCGCCCUGUCCUCCUGGCUGCCAGCUACUCACAGGAGGGACAGGGCUGGGGAGAGGAGCCGCAC